UUUCUCAACCCAAACGCUGGGUUGAGGCUGUCAGGGCAUUUUGUGGGGUUGUUUUUACUCAUGUUGGGUUAUUUUCUGUAACCCAGCUUGUUGGGUUGAUUGUUUAGGACAGCGCCCCUCCUCUCUCCCACCUGACGUGGAGGACACUACCCAGCACCUGGGUGACUUUAACACAGCUGCAUAGUUAUUUGAGAGUUUGAAAAAACAUCUUUAUUCUUCCAACCGUCCAGUCCACCAGUUGUCAGCAUGCAAUGGAAAUCAGGCGAUUUCGUAAGGGGUGAUCCCCAAUACGGACGGUGGAAUCUGCCUGCCUUCAUGGAAGUAUCACAAGCUUUUUCUAGCUAUCUGUUCAAAAAAUAAACUGCCAAAUAAAUAAAUGUUGAACUGUUUUAUUUCAUUGCAUGGCUAUUGUUGCCCAUUGGAUGGAUUCUAAAACAUUGUAACAUUUAAUGAUUUGCAAACAUUUAUUUGAAUUAUUAUCAAUUAAUAGUGAUUGGAUUAAGGAGAAAAAUAAGAUACUUAGAAUAACCCAUAAAUUAGGUCAGCAUAACCCAGAAAUGACAGUGAAAAUAAUAUAAAUCCUGGGUUGGAUAAGAGAGCCUACCCAACAAUUAUGUAGGUUUAACCUAACAGUUUUGUUACGAUAACCCAAUGUUUGGGUUAGACUAUCAACCCAACUCAUUGGGUUUACCGAACAACCCAAUUUUCGGGGCUAAUAUAACUCAGUGCUGGGCUCGACCACUAUUUACCCAGUGGAUGGGUUGAAAUUGGGUUGUUUUUAACCCAAUGUUUUUUAGAGUGUGGCUUACAGACCAUAAGACAAACUUGGACCUACCUGCUUGUAACUAAUUGCACGUUUGAAAUCAUCAGUGAUGAAGCAUUAAACUUCACUUUUUAAGUUUUUCCAUGUUUUUGUUCUGUGCAUAGUCUGUUGUACAAUCACACCCAACGGUCAAACAUUUGUUGAUACAAAAAUAUGUACUUUUUGUCUAUUUUCAGUGCCAAUGAUAUGAGUGUGGACAGACUUCGCUGUUUGAAGUCCUGUCACUUCCACGACACUGACUGUGCUAUGGAAACAGUGAAAUUAAUUUCCCACUCUGUCAUUUACUUAACCACAUUUAAAGAACUACGAGAACCAGAGGAAAUUGUCCUUCUCAGAACCACAGUGUUCCUAUUCUCAUCCCCAUACCUGAAGUCACCGCGUGUCAAUUUUCACAUCCUGACAGGCAACAUACAUAACGCUUUUGAUGUUUUGCAGCGCCCUGAGAACCAUAAUGUGUUGGGUGUUGUGCGACUGGUCAAGCCUCUUACAGGGCCAAUGACUGUUAUAAGUAUAUAUACUUUUUUGAUCCCGUGAGGGAAAUUUGGUCUCUGCAUUAAUCCCAAUCCGUGA